UGUGNNCGAUGAAGGUCUUCUGAUUGUNNNNNUNUUUUAUUUAGGAAAAAAAGCUUGAGAGGAAAUGAUUAAGCCCUGAUUGUACUAAAUGAAUAAGUGACAGCUAACUAUGUGCCAGCAGCUGCGGUAAAACAUAGGUCACGAGCAUUAUCCGGAUUUAUUGGGCGUAAAGGAAGCGUAGGCGGACAAAUUGAUCUAUUGUUAAAGGCACUUGCUCAACGAGUUGUUUGUGAUAGAUAUCGUUUGUCUAGAAUUAGUUAGGAGAUACUGGAAUUCAAUGUGUAGCGGUGGAAUGCGUAGAUAUAUUGAGGAACACCAGAGGCUAAGGCGAGUAUCUAGGACAUAAUUGACGCUGAGGCUUGAAAGCGUGGGGAGCAAAUGGGAUUAGAUACCCCAGUAGUCCACGCCGUAAACGAUGGGUAUUAGGUAUUUGGUUUAGGACUGAGUGCUGUAGCUAACGCGUUAAAUACCCCGCCUGGGUAGUAUAUAUGCAAAUAUGAAACUCAAAGAAAUUGACGGGGACCUGAACAAGUGGUGGAGCAA
rnacentral:rRNA from 1 species